CCGGGUUGUCGAUUAAUCGAUUAUUAUAUUUAAUAAAACAAAAUGGGACAUUCCAAAAGAAUGCUGUUUAUUCGAUCUUCCUCUUUGAACUAAAAACGAAACAAAUAAUACAAUCCAUGUUUUCAAGCUUUUUUAACAUCAAAACGAUUAAUCGAUUACAAAAUAUUUCAUUUUCAAUUGUUCGAUUAAUCUGGUGUACCUCCUAGCAGUAAGUUCCAGCCUCGAGGAUUUAUUUUUAAGACAUUAGUCUGACGAAUAGACUGAUAGUCAGCACAAAAGGGUAUGUCGCCACGAUUUGUCUUGCCGCCUCCUUUGCUAUCUGCCAUCAAAAUUGAAUGUCAACUAAAUGGGACAAUUUGAAUUUGCACCAUUCAGCAGUCAAAGUUUUAAUUGAAUUUGUUAUUAUUUUCUCCGUAUCUUGUUUGAAGUGUUUGCAUGGAAUCUAGUUUUUUUUGUUUGCUUGUAUGGAUUGUUUUUUUUUUGCCAUAAAACAUACAUUUCUUUUUA
rnacentral:sRNA from 1 species